AGGUGGUGCAUGGUUGUCGUCAGCUCGUGUCGUGAGAUGUUGGGUUAAGUCCCGCAACGAGCGCAACCCUCGACCUUAGUUGCCAGCAUUCAGUUGGGCACUCAAAGGUGACUGCCGGCUAAAAGUCGGAGGAAGGUGGGGAUGACGUCAAAUCAUCAUGCCCCUUAUGACCUGGGCUACACACGUGCUACAAUGGGCGGUACAAAGGGUCGCGAACCCGCGAGGGGGAGCCAAUCCCAAAAAGCCGCUCUCAGUUCGGAUUGCAGGCUGCAACUCGCCUGCAUGAAGCCGGAAUCGCUAGUAAUCGCGGAUCAGCAUGCCGCGGUGAAUACGUUCCCGGGCCUU
rnacentral:rRNA from 1 species